CUUAGGCAAGAACUCUUCCUUCAAUUAAUGAAAAUAUUAAGUCAUUCGACAGUACCUGUGAAGCCCUUCAUUCCUUUAUACAAAGUGAUUUGCUGAGCCUUUGGGCCGUAUAAACAUGAAUAAAACCCUUUAAGAUGUUCAUACUCUAUUUGGGCAGUCAGAUACAAGUAGUUAGAAGUCAGAAUCGCUGUGGAAGCACAGUGGAGGAAGUCAUGGAUUACCACAGAUUCCAGAGCGUUGGAAUCAGGGAGAGCUUCGAAGAGAAGCCCGGCAUUGGCAAAACCUGGGAAGAUUCAUAAGCUUUUCAUAGCCAGAGAAACAGUGGAAAGGGCCAUUAGGCCGAGCAACCACCUCAGCAACAUAAACAGGUUUUAAAAGCUGAGCAGCAAACUUUGGAUUAUUUUAAAAGAGUGAUCUUCAAACAUUUUUCUUCAUUUGAACUCAAAAAGAAUUCUGAAGCUUUGUACCUCCUUGUGUAUUUUUAAGUUGGUAUCUAGCACUAUUUUGUCAAAAAUUGUUUUAAUUUUUCUAGUGGAUGGAAAAUAUUGGUAUUUGACAAUAAAGCUGUCAUAUCACUCCUUUAAAUGUACCCAUUAGAAUAUAAAUAUUAUAGACAUUCGAUACCCUUUAUUAACUAUUCUUUUAAAUACAUGAAUAGGCUUUUCUUUAACAACAGUACAUUUUGCAACAUUCCUUGUUUUCCUUGAGCCUAUUCCACUUUCCCUACAGAAUUAUAUUUCAAUGUAAUGUGUUUUUAUACUUUAAAGUCUUUUCUUGCUCUACCUUUCAUAAUUCUUUGCAAUAAAAAUAUGUGUAUAUUGGCUGGGUAUAGUGGCUCGGGCCUGUAAUCCAAGCACUUUGGGAGGCCGAGGCGGGCAGACUGCCUGAGCUCAGUAGUUCAAGACCAGCCUGGGCAACAUGGCGAAACCCUGUCUCUACUAAAAAUACAAAAAAAAAAAAAAAA
rnacentral:lncRNA from 1 species